rnacentral:pre_miRNA from 1 species
CAAUAGUGUCUCGCCUUCACCGGUGACUUUGGUGUGACGCGACUACUAAGGCACGCGGUGAAUGCCAAUUGCUAUUGC